rnacentral:rRNA from 1 species
CGUAAUGAUGGCCAGGCUGUCUCCACCCGAGACUCAGUGAAAUUGAACUCGCUGUGAAGAUGCAGUGUACCCGCGGCAAGACGGAAAGACCCCGUGAACCUUUACUAUAGCUUGACACUGAACAUUGAGCCUUGAUGUGUAGGAUAGGUGGGAGGCUUAGAAGUGUGGACGCCAGUCUGCAUGGAGCCGACCUUGAAAUACCACCCUUUAAUGUUUGAUGUUCUAACGUUGACCCGUAAUCCGGGUUGCGGACAGUGUCUGGUGGGUAGUUUGACUGGGGCGGUCUCCUCCUAAAGAGUAACGGAGGAGCACGAAGGUUGGCUAAUCCUGGUCGGACAUCAGGAGGUUAGUGCAAUGGCAUAAGCCAGCUUGACUGCGAGCGUGACGGCGCGAGCAGGUGCGAAAGC